AUUGAACGCUGGCGGCAUGCCUUACACAUGCAAGUCGAACGGUAACGGGCCUUCGGGUGCCGACGAGUGGCGCACGGGUGAGUAAUACAUCGGAACGUGCCCGAUCGUGGGGGAUAACGAGGCGAAAGCUUCGCUAAUACCGCAUACGAUCUACGGAUGAAACCAGGGGACAGCAAGGCCUUGCGCGGACGGAGCGGCCGAUGGCAGAGUAGGUAGUUGGUGGGAUUAAAGCGUACCAAGCCGACGAUCUGUAGCUGGUCUGAGAGGAUGAUCAGGCACACUGUGACUGAGACACGGCCCAGACUCCUACGGGAGGCAGCAGUGGGGAAUUUUGGACAAUGGGCGCAAGCCUGAUCCAGCCAUGCCGCGUGCAGGAUGAAGGCCUUCGGGUUGUAAACUGCUUUUGUACGGAACGAAAAGCCUUCUUUUAAUACAGGAGGGUCAUGACGGUACCGUAAGAAUAAGCACCGGCUAACUACGUG
rnacentral:rRNA from 1 species